rnacentral:rRNA from 1 species
AAUCAACGCUGGCGGCGCGCUUAACACAUGCAAGUCGCACGAGAAAGUGGAGCAAUCCAUGAGUACAGUGGCGUACGGGUGAGUAACACGUGGGUAAUCUACCUCUUAGUGGGGAAUAACUCUGGGAACCGGAGCUAAUACCGCAUAAGCCUGGAAAGGGAAAGCAGCAAUGCGCUGAGAGAGGAGCCCGCGGCCGAUUAGCUAGUUGGUAGGGUAAAGCCUACCAAGGCAAUGAUCGGUAGCCGGCCUGAGAGGGCACACGGCCACACUGGCACUGAAACACGGGCCAGACUCCUACGGGAGGCAGCAGUGGGGAAUCUUGCACAAGUGGGGGCAACCCUGAUGCAGCGACGCCGCGUGAGCGAU